rnacentral:pre_miRNA from 1 species
UGAUAAUGAUAAUGAUGAUGAUGAUGAUGAUGAUGAUGAUCAUCAUCAUCAUCAUCAUCGUCAUCAUCAUCAUGA